CUAGGUAUCCCUUGAGAGUCGUGGAAGACUACCACGUUGAUAGGCCAGAUGUUGAAGCAUAGUAAUAUGUGUAGCUAACUGGUACUAAUAACUCGAUCGGCUUGAAAU
rnacentral:rRNA from 1 species